rnacentral:rRNA from 1 species
GAGUUUGAUCCUGGCUCAGAUUGAACGCUGGCGGCAGGCCUAACACAUGCAAGUCAAGCGGUAGAGAGAAGCUUGCUUCUCUUGAGAGCGGCGGACGGGUGAGUAAUGCCUAGGAAUCUGCCUGGUAGUGGGGGAUAACGCUCGGAAACGGACGCUAAUACCGCAUACGUCCUACGGGAGAAAGCAGGGGACCUUCGGGCCUUGCGCUAUCAGAUGAGCCUAGGUCGGAUUAGCUAGUUGGUGAGGUAAUGGCUCACCAAGGCGACGAUCCGUAACUGGUCUGAGAGGAUGAUCAGUCACACUGGAACUGAGACACGGUCCAGACUCCUACGGGAGGCAGCAGUGGGGAAUAUUGGACAAUGGGCGAAAGCCUGAUCCAGCCAUGCCGCGUGUGUGAAGAAGGUCUUCGGAUUGUAAAGCACUUUAAGUUGGGAGGAAGGGCAGUAAAUUAAUACUUUAGCUGUUUUGACGUUUACCGACUAGAAUAAGCACCGGCUAACUCUAGUGCCAGCCGCCG